rnacentral:rRNA from 1 species
GGCCCCUGACCGGGGUUGCGGACAGUGUCUGGUGGGUAGUUUGACUGGGGCGGUCUCCUCCCAAAGCGUAACGGAGGAGCACGAAGGUUAGCUAAUCCUGGUCGGACAUCAGGAGGUUAGUGCAAUGGCAUAAGCUAGCUUGACUGCGAGCGUGACGGCGCGAGCAGGUGCGAAAGCAGGUCAUAGUGAUCCGGUGGUUCUGAAUGGAAGGGCCAUCGCUCAACGGAUAAAAGGUACUCCGGGGAUAACAGGCUGAUACCGCCCAAGAGUUCAUAUCGACGGCGGUGUUUGGCACCUCGAUGUCGGCUCAUCACAUCCUGGGGCUGAAGUAGGUCCCAAGGGUAUGGCUGUUCGCCAUUUAAAGUGGUACGCGAGCUGGGUUUAGAACGUCGUGAGACAGUUCGGUCCCUAUCUGCCGUGGGCGCUGGAGAAUUGAGGGGGGCUGCUCCUAGUACGAGAGGACCGGAGUGGACGCAUCACUGGUGUUCGGGUUGUCAUGCCAAUGGCACUGCCCGGUAGCUAAAUGCGGAAGAGAUAAGUGCUGAAAGCAUCUAAGCACGAAACUUGCCCCGAGAUGAGUUCUCCCUGAGACUU